CCAUGUGAAUGCGAGCAAAUCCCAAAAAUAAACGUCUCAGCUCGGAUUGUAGUCUGCAACUCGACUACAUGAAGCUGGAAUCGCUAGUAAUCGCGAAUCAGAAUGUCGCGGUGAAUACGUUCCCGGGUCUUGUACACACCGCCCGUCACACCAUGGGAGUCAGUAACGCCCGAAGCCGGUGACCCAACCAAACGGAGGGAGCCGUCGAAGGUGGGACCGAUAACUGGGGUGAAGUCGUAACAAGGUACC
rnacentral:rRNA from 1 species